UCUGAAUAUGGGGGGACCAUCCUCCAAGGCUAAAUACUCCUGACUGACCGAUAGUGAACCAGUACCGUGAGGGAAAGGCGAAAAGAACCCCGGCGAGGGGAGUGAAAAAGAACCUGAAACCGUGUACGUACAAGCAGUGGGAGCACGCUUAGGCGUGUGACUGCGUACCUUUUGUAUAAUGGGUCAGCGACUUAUAUUCUGUAGCAAGGUUAACCGAAUAGGGGAGCCGAAGGGAAACCGAGUCUUAACUGGGCGUUAAGUUGCAGGGUAUAGACCCGAAACCCGGUGAUCUAGCCAUGGGCAGGUUGAAGGUUGGGUAACACUAACUGGAGGACCGAACCGACUAAUGUUGAAAAAUUAGCGGAUGACUUGUGGCUGGGGGUGAAAGGCCAAUCAAACCGGGAGAUAGCUGGUUCUCCCCGAAAGCUAUUUAGGUAGCGCCUCGUGAAUUCAUCUCCGGGGGUAGAGCACUGUUUCGGCAAGGGGGUCAUCCCGACUUACCAACCCGAUGCAAACUGCGAAUACCGGAGAAUGUUAUCACGGGAGACACACGGCGGGUGCUAACGUCCGUCGUGAAGAGGGAAACAACCCAGACCGCCAGCUAAGGUCCCAAAGUCAUGGUUAAGUGGGAAACGAUGUGGGAAGGCCCAGACAGCCAGGAUGUUGGCUUAGAAGCAGCCAUCAUUUAAAGAAAGCGUAAUAGCUCACUGGUCGAGUCGGCCUGCGCGGAAGAUGUAACGGGGCUAAACCAUGCACCGAAGCUGCGGCAGCGACGCUGAUGCGUUGUUGGGUAGGGGAGCGUUCUGUAAGCCUGCGAAGGUGUGCUGUGAGGCAUGCUGGAGGUAUCAGAAGUGCGAAUGCUGACAUAAGUAACGAUAAAGCGGGUGAAAAGCCCGCUCGCCGGAAGACCAAGGGUUCCUGUCCAACGUUAAUCGGGGCAGGGUGAGUCGACCCCUAAGGCGAGGCCGAAAGGCGUAGUCGAUGGGAAACAGGUUAAUAUUCCUGUACUUGGUGUUACUGCGAAGGGGGGACGGAGAAGGCUAUGUUGGCCGGGCGACGGUUGUCCCGGUUUAAGCGUGUAGGCUGGUUUUCCAGGCAAAUCCGGAAAAUCAAGGCUGAGGCGUGAUGACGAGGCACUGCGGUGCUGAAGCAACAAAUGCCCUGCUUCCAGGAAAAGCCUCUAAGCAUCAGGUAACAUCAAAUCGUACCCCAAACCGACACAGGUGGUCAGGUAGAGAAUACCAAGGCGCUUGAGAGAACUCGGGUGAAGGAACUAGGCAAAAUGGUGCCGUAACUUCGGGAGAAGGCACGCUGAUAUGUAGGUGAAGUCCCUCGCGGAUGGAGCUGAAAUCAGUCGAAGAUACCAGCUGGCUGCAACUGUUUAUUAAAAACACAGCACUGUGCAAACACGAAAGUGGACGUAUACGGUGUGACGCCUGCCCGGUGCCGGAAGGUUAAUUGAUGGGGUUAGCGCAAGCGAAGCUCUUGAUCGAAGCCCCGGUAAACGGCGGCCGUAACUAUAACGGUCCUAAGGUAGCGAAAUUCCUUGUCGGGUAAGUUCCGACCUGCACGAAUGGCGUAAUGAUGGCCAGGCUGUCUCCACCCGAGACUCAGUGAAAUUGAACUCGCUGUGAAGAUGCAGUGUACCCGCGGCAAGACGGAAAGACCCCGUGAACCUUUACUAUAGCUUGACACUGAACAUUGAGCCUUGAUGUGUAGGAUAGGUGGGAGGCUUUGAAGUGUGGACGCCAGUCUGCAUGGAGCCGACCUUGAAAUACCACCCUUUAAUGUUUGAUGUUCUAACGUUGACCCGUAAUCCGGGUUGCGGACAGUGUCUGGUGGGUAGUUUGACUGGGGCGGUCUCCUCCUAAAGAGUAACGGAGGAGCACGAAGGUUGGCUAAUCCUGGUCGGACAUCAGGAGGUUAGUGCAAUGGCAUAAGCCAGCUUGACUGCGAGCGUGACGGCGCGAGCAGGUGCGAAAGCAGGUCAUAGUGAUCCGGUGGUUCUGAAUGGAAGGGCCAUCGCUCAACGGAUAAAAGGUACUCCGGGGAUAA
rnacentral:rRNA from 1 species